CCCCUGUAAUGAGUUUCCAUGCUAAUACUGAAAUACCAGGUAGCGGGGUUUUACCCUGCAUCCAGUGUUGUUGAGAUACAUUGUGCUUCUCUUAAAGCCACCUAAGGGAC